AUUGAACGCUGGCGGCAUGCUUUACACAUGCAAGUCGAACGGCAGCGCGGGCUUCGGCCUGGCGGCGAGUGGCGAACGGGUGAGUAAUACAUCGGAACGUGCCCAGUAGUGGGGGAUAGCUCGGCGAAAGCCGGAUUAAUACCGCAUACGACCUGAGGGUGAAAGCGGGGGAUCUUCGGACCUCGCGCUAUUGGAGCGGCCGAUGGCAGAUUAGCUAGUUGGUGGGGUAAAGGCCCACCAAGGCGACGAUCUGUAGCUGGUCUGAGAGGACGACCAGCCACACUGGGACUGAGACACGGCCCAGACUCCUACGGGAGGCAGCAGUGGGGAAUUUUGGACAAUGGGCGAAAGCCUGAUCCAGCAAUGCCGCGUGUGUGAUGAAGGCCUUCGGGUUGUAAAGCACUUUUGGCGGGAACGAAAAGGACUGUGCCAAUACCACGGUUCGAUGACGGUACCCGCAGAAUAAGCACCGGCUAACUACGUG
rnacentral:rRNA from 1 species